UGAGGAAUAUUGGGUCAAUGGACGAAAGUCUGAACCAGCCAUGCCGCGUGAAGGAAUAAGGCCCUAUGGGUCGUAAACUUCUUUUGUAUGUGAGCAAUAAGGUCCACGAGUGGUCCGAUGAGAGUAGCAUACGAAUAAGCAUCGGCUAACUCCGUGCCAGCAGCCGCGGUAAUACGGAGGAUGCAAGCGUUAUCCGGAUUUAUUGGGUUUAAAGGGUGCGUAGGCGGAAGUGCAAGUCAGCGGUGAAAUCCCCGCGCUCAACGCGGGAGUUGCCGUUGAUACUGUACAUCUGGAAUGCUCUUGCCGUGGGAGGAAUGAGUAGUGUAGCGGUGAAAUGCAUAGAUAUUACUCAGAACACCGAUUGCGAAGGCAUCUCACGAAGGGGCGAUUGACGCUGAGGCACGAAAGCGUGGGGUAUCGAACAGGAUUAGAUACCCUGGUAGU
rnacentral:rRNA from 1 species